rnacentral:rRNA from 1 species
GAUGAACGCUGGCGGCGUGCCUAAUACAUGCAAGUCGAGCGAACAGACGAGGAGCCUGCUCCUCUGACGUUAGCGGCGGACGGGUGAGUAACACGUGGAUAACCUACCUAUAAGACUGGGAUAACUUCGGGAAACCGGAGCUAAUACCGGAUAACAUGUUGAACCGCAUGGUUCAACAGUGAAAGACGGUCUUGCUGUCACUUAUAGAUGGAUCCGCGCCGCAUUAGCUAGUUGGUAAGGUAACGGCUUACCAAGGCAACGAUGCGUAGCCGACCUGAGAGGGUGAUCGGCCACACUGGAACUGAGACACGGUCCAGACUCCUACGGGAGGCAGCAGUAGGGAAUCUUCCGCAAUGGGCGAAAGCCUGACGGAGCAACGCCGCGUGAGUGAUGAAGGUCUUCGGAUCGUAAAACUCUGUUAUUAGGGAAGAACAAAUGUGUAAGUAACUAUGCACGUCUUGACGGUACCUAAUCAGAAAGCCACGGCUAACUACGUG